GAUGAAGAACGCAGCGAAAUGCGAUAAGUAAUGUGAAUUGCAGAAUUCAGUGAAUCAUCGAAUCUUUGAACGCACAUUGCGCCCUCUGGUAUUCCGGGGGGCAUGCCUGUUCGAGCGUCAUUAUAACCACUCAAGCUCUCGCUUGGUAUUGGGGUUCGCGGUUUCGCGGCCCCUAAAAUCAGUGGCGGUGCCUGUCGGCUCUACGCGUAGUAAUACUUCUCGCGAUUGAGUUCGAUAGGUCUACUUGCCAGUAACCCCCAAUUUUUACAGGUUGACCUCGGGUCAGGUAGGGAUACCCGCUGAACUUAAGCAUAUCAAUAAGCGGAGGA
rnacentral:misc_RNA from 1 species